UACGAAGGGGGCUAGCGUUGCUCGGAAUUACUGGGCGUAAAGCGCACGUAGGCGGGUCAUUAAGUCGGGGGUGAAAUCCUGGAGCUCAACUCCAGAACUGCCUUUGAUACUGGAGAGCUCGAGUCCGGGAGAGGUGAGUGGAACUCCGAGUGUAGGGGUGAAAUUCGUAGAUAUUCGGAAGAACACCAGUGGCGAAGGCGGCUCACUGGCCCGGUACUGACGCUGAGGUGCGAAAGCGUGGGGAGCAAACAGG
rnacentral:rRNA from 1 species